AACGUAGGACACAAGCGUUAUCCGGAAUUACUGGGCGUAAAGGGCGUGCAGGCGGUUGCGUAAGUUAGGCGUGAAAGACUUCGGCUAAACCGGGGGAGGUCGUCUGAUACUGCGCAACUAGAGUAUGGUAGAGGCGUGUAGAAUUCCGGGUGUAGUGGUGAAAUGCGUAGAGAUCCGGAGGAAUACCAGUGGCGAAGGCGGCACGCUGGGCCAUAACUGACGCUAAGACGCGAAAGCAUGGGUAGCGAACGGG
rnacentral:rRNA from 1 species